rnacentral:rRNA from 1 species
AGAGACAGCAGCCGCCGCGGUAAUACAGAGGGUGCGAGCGUUAAUCGGAUUUACUGGGCGUAAAGCGUGCGUAGGCGGCUUUUAAGUCGGAUGUGAAAUCCCUGAGCUUAACUUAGGAAUUGCAUUCGAUACUGGGAAGCUAGAGUAUGGGAGAGGAUGGUAGAAUUCCAGGUGUAGCGGUGAAAUGCGUAGAGAUCUGGAGGAAUACCGAUGGCGAAGGCAGCCAUCUGGCCUAAUACUGACGCUGAGGUACGAAAGCAUGGGGAGCAAACAGGAUUAGAUACCCCUGUAGUCCCUGUCUCUUAUACA